rnacentral:rRNA from 1 species
UACGUAGGGUGCGAGCGUUGUCCGGAAUUAUUGGGCGUAAAGAGCUCGUAGGCGGUUUGUCGCGUCGGCCGUGAAAACUUGGGGCUUAACCCCAAGCCUGCGGUCGAUACGGGCAGACUUGAGUUCGGCAGGGGAGACUGGAAUUCCUGGUGUAGCGGUGAAAUGCGUAGAUAUCGAGAGGAACACCUGCGGCGAAGGCGGGUAGCUGGGCCGACACUGACGCUGAGGCGCGAAAGCUAGGGGAGCGAACGGG